CCCAGCACUUUGGGAGGCCAACGCGGGUGGAUCACCUGAGUCAGGAGCUCGAGACCAGCCUGACCAAUAUGGUGUUAUUUUCUUUUUUAAAGAAGAACAAUCAUAUUGCCAGAAGAAUCAAUGACCCAGCCCUACUGCACGCCAAGAGGUUGCGACACACUUAGAUAUUGUUAGAGGUUUGCUUCUGCUACCAAACCAUUUGCAUUCUCCUGGGGACAGUGCUCUCCUGAUGUGACUCUUAUUCUGAAUUUACAGCAGGAGGUGGUGGCAUAUACCUGGUGAGACCCAGGGAGGGCAGGAUCAGCACCAUGAAGAUCAAGAAUAUGUAGACUUUGGUCAUCACGAUCUGGUUUUCCCCUGACCUGCAGGAAGUCAAAGCACAGCAAAGAAAGCAAUUUCACAUACAAGUAAACGCCACUUACCUGACUAAACAGAUUAAAUAACCUUCUCUGCUCCCUAUACAAAACAAAUGACUGAUGCCAUGGGAAGACUGAACACUGAAGGCCUGGAGUCCUGGCUGGGGGCGUGGGGCGGGCAGGGGAUGCCCUGCCUGCUCAGCUCCCACUGGUCCAGCUGCAGCAUAUCAGGACUCUACUGUGUGUGUCCACAAUCCUGCUGUUUGUUACUGUGAUUACAUGAGCUGAUUGACUUAUUACUGUCACUUAUUAGAUGAACAUAAAAAUAGAGAGAAAUUUUCUUUGAAAACUAAGUUGGAUACUUUGGAAAGACUUGAUAAAAGUCAAUUUCUAAAAAAAAAAAAAAAACGCUGUUAAUUAGAUGAGAGUAAAUUAACGAUAAAAGAUCAAGGGAUAUGCGAUCUAGGAAGUUUCUAUAUUCAGAAUGGCUCUGCAAAUAUCUAAAUUCUUCAUUUACUUUAAAGAAGGCAACACUGGAAUCACAAAACAAUGAAAUAAGGAGUGGUUGAUGUAAAAUAGACAAAGGGGAGCUCUUAACAGCAGAUCCAUCCUCAAAAGAAUAAGCCUGUCCCUCUAUUAAAAGAUUGGCAAAGGAAUGCAUGUUUAUAAUACCUGCUUCAAAUCUUAAACAAAACUGCUGAAUUUAUACUUAGGUAGUUUUAAACUAUUUAUGGAGUCAGAUAAGAGCUUCAACCACACAUCAGCUCACUGAUUAUCAUGACAACAGCCUCGUGUCCUGUAUAAUAGGGCAGGUGUUUUAACUCCAGUCCUUGGAUGAAAAACUGAGGUUCAGAAUUCAUCAGAUGGGGAGAAUGGCAAAGUGAGGACAAGGAGGCCCUCCUGCCCAGUAUGCUUUCCCAGAGAAUAAGUAACCAAAUGCAAAGUGAAAUUUAAAAAGAAAAACAAUUUAGGGAGAUGGCUUGGCAAAGUUAAUCAUGAGAAACCAAUAGCUUUUUGAGUAAAUGCCAGUUGAGUGUUUGGCUGUUAUCUCAUUGACUCAUGUAAGAUUUUUGAAAAUCAUUCAUUACCUAUACAGAAUAAAUAGUUUUUGUUGUUUUUU